GGAGAGGUGCAAGAGUGGUUGAAUUGGCACGCCUGGAAAGCGUGUGUACUCGCAAGGGUACCGUGGGUUCGAAUCCCACCCUCUCCG
rnacentral:tRNA from 1 species